UACGGAGGGUGCAAGCGUUAUCCGGAUUCACUGGGUUUAAAGGGUGCGUAGGCGGGCAGGUAAGUCCGUGGUGAAAUCUCUGGGCUUAACCCAGAAACUGCCAUGGAUACUAUUUGUCUUGAAUGUUGUGGAGGUUAGCGGAAUAUGUCAUGUAGCGGUGAAAUGCAUAGAUAUGACAUAGAACACCAAUUGCGAAGGCAGCUGGCUACACAAAUAUUGACGCUGAGGCACGAAAGCGUGGGGAUCAAACGGG
rnacentral:rRNA from 1 species